UAUCUGCAGGCUGGCUGUCCCCCAGGCUGGACUGGGUGAGUAUCUCUUCGAAAGGUCACCCUCAAGCACGACUAGGCGC
rnacentral:pre_miRNA from 1 species